rnacentral:rRNA from 1 species
AACAUAACCUUUAGCCAGACAAGUAUUAAAGGCAACGCCUGCCCAGUGAAAAUUAAACGGCCGCGGUACCCUAACCGUGCAAAGGUAGCAUAAUCAUUUGUCUAUUAAUUGUAGACCUGUAUGAAAGGCAAAAUGAGAGCCCAACUGUCUCUUAUAACAAAUCAAUUAAACUGAUCUCCUAGUACAAAAGCUAGAAUAUCAACAUAAGACCAGAAGACCCUGUGAAGCUUUAACUAACCUAUUAAACCCAAUAAUAGCUACUUUCGGUUGGGGCGACCUUGGAAUAAAAAAGAACUUCCAACAAUAUGACUUCUCAUAAAAUAGGCAGACAAGCCAACACUAGACCCAGUAUUACUGAUAAUUGAAAUAAGUUACUCCAGGGAUAACAGCGCUAUCUUCUUUAAGAGCCCAUAUCAAAAAGAAGGUUUACGACCUCGAUGUUGGAUCAGGGCACCCCAGUAAUGCACCCGUUACUAAAGGUUCGUUUGUUCAACGAUCAACAGCCCUACGUGAUCUGA